UGGUGAAUAUUGGACAAUGGGGGCAACCCUGAUCCAGCCAUUCCGCGUGAGUGAAGAAGGCCUUCGGGUUGUAAAGCUCUUUCAGCUGGAACGAAACGGUGCGCUCUAACAUAGCGUGCUAAUGACGGUACCAGCAGAAGAAGCACCGGCUAACUACGUGCCAGCAGCCGCGGUAAUACGAAGGGUGCAAGCGUUACUCGGAAUUACUGGGCGUAAAGCGUGAGUAGGUGGUUUCUUAAGUCUGCUGUGAAAGCCCCGGGCUCAACCUGGGAAUUGCAGUGGAUACUGGGAAGCUAGAGUGCGGUAGAGGGUAGUGGAAUUCCCGGUGUAGCGGUGAAAUGCGUAGAUAUGCGGAGGAACACCGAUGGCGAAGGCAAUCCCCUGGGCCUGCACUGACGCUCAUGCACGAAAGCGUGGGGAGCAAACA
rnacentral:rRNA from 1 species